UGCCGUUCACUUCGACGAAUCAGGCGGGAGAAGCCGGCGACUUCGCCGAGCCUCCUGGCGUCGCCCUCCUCCUCUCCUCUCAAAUCCUCACCCUCUACCCUUCCCGGCACAGUUAGGCCUCUAAAGGUCGCUCCUUUAGCCGCCGCUCCGGAGGAUUCGGAUGCCCGGCUAGGGUUAGGGUUGCUUUCAUUUUCCCCGAUGGGGGCCGAGGUUUCUAGGGAGAGCAUGGGCGGCGCGAAUCUGCUGGCUGGCGAGGAUCUGCUGCACCUUCCGCGGAUACUUGCUGGGGAAGGCGGUGGGGGAACAGAAUUCUCGAGGAAUGAAGCUUUUCAUGAUGGAGAUCUUCGCUCUGCUUCCUCGUCCCCAUGCUUUCAAUGGAUCGAACCUGGUUUCACAUGGACGACGAGAGCUACAUGGGGAAUUUGAAUUUCAGCUAUCAUGUUUAUAGCCCAGAGCAAACAUCAGAUGAACCCAGAAGCUGGAACCAUUACCGCGUAGACGAUUUUGCAAGUAGAAGCUCCAAUACACCGAUCAAUAUCAAGUUCUUAAUGUGGUUUUGAUGGCAAUGCUACUUUUUCAUUUGUAUUCGGCUACAACUAUAAAGUGCAUCAGCUUUGCGGCAAGGGAUUAAUCUCCGGAGGAAAACGAUGUUUGCCUAUCGAGUAAGAUUUUGGGAUGGUGAAGGUGAACUUUGGAGCAUAAUUCUUGAGCACCCACUCAAACUCUCGAGUCUCUUCAUGACUAGGGAUUCGCUACAUGAAGGUAUGGAGCUAGAUCCUUAAGUUAUUAGAGUACUGAUCUAGGAAUGGGGCAACUCCUGUUAGAUCGUUCCUUUCUCUUCUCUGGACAGCUUUUAAUGAAUCGGCUUUUGGUGGGUCAAGAUUACUGGCUCAAAGAGAUUAACAAAAGAUUAGAAGGGGGUAAGGUCCGACGCUCAAGUUAGUCGUAGAGAAAUACGAGGUGGAAAGAAAGUAAUGAGAUGAAAACUUAGUGAAGUUGAAUCUCUUGCGCAUACCCUUUCCGAGGUGGAAAGAAAGUAAUGAGAUGAAAACAUAGUGAAGUUGAAUCUCUUGCGCAUCCCCUUUCCUAGUUGAUACUACUACCUUAUAUCUUACUAUUUUAUUAAAAAUCUCCCCCCUUUACUAACUAACUUUGGUGAAGCCUAAAAUGAAUUUACGUUAAUAUCCU